GGUUAGGAGCUGGAGACCAGCCCUGCCAACACAGCAAAACCCCAUCUCCACCAAAAAAAUACGAAAACCAGUCAGGCGUGGUGGCGCGCGCCUGCAAUCGCAGACACUCGGCAGGCUGAGGCAGGAGAAUCAGGCAGGGAGAUUGCAGUGAGCCGAGAUGGCGGCAGUACAGUCCAGCUUCCGCUCGGCAUCAGAGGGAGACCGUGGAAAGAGAGGGAGACCGUGGGGAGAGGGAGAGGGAGAGGGGGACGGGGAGGGGGCGCAAUUUGUUAAGAUGAUAAAAAGACAAGCUACACUUGGAGAAAAUAUUUGCAAAUCACAUACCUAACAAAAAACUCAUAUCCAGAAUAUUAAAAAAAAAUGGAAAAACCUCAAAUAACCCAAUUUAAAAGUGGGCAAAAGACAUAAAGAGACAUUUCAUUAAAGACAAUAUAUGUAUGGCACAUAAUCACAUGAAAAGAUGUUCAAGGCUGGGCACAGUGGCUCACACCUGUAAUACCAGCACUUUGGGAAGCUGAGGUGGGAGGAUUGUUUGAGCCCGGGAAUUCAAGACCAGCCUGGGCAACAAGGUGAAACCCCCUCCCAAGAGGAUCACUUGAGCCUGGGAACUCAAGGCUGCAGUGAUCCAUAAUCGUGCCACUGCACUCCAGCCUGGGUGAUGGAUAGAGUGAGACCCUGUCUCAAUAAAAGAAAAGAAAAGAACAGGAAAAGAAAAGAACAGAAAAAAAAGAAAGAAAAAAGAAAAGAAAAAGUUCAACAUUACUUGCAUUAGGGAAAUGCAAAUGAAGGUUACUACACAUUCAUUAGAAUAGCUAAAUAAUGGUUAUAAAAUAUUACCAAAUAAUACCAAAUGCUGGUGAGAUCAUGGAGAAAUUGUCUCUUUCAUACAUUGCUGUGGGAAUGUAAAAUGUUACAGCCACUGUAGAAAAUAGUUUGACAGGCUUUUAAAAAGGUAAUUAUGUAUUACCACACAACCCAAAACUGUACUCCUGGGCAUUUAUCUCUGAGGAGUAAAAACAUAUGUCCACACAAAACCUCUACAUGAUUAUUCAUGGAAUUAUUUGUAAUAUCAAAAAUCUGGAAGCAACCAUAAAGUCCUGUAAUAGGUGAAUGGUUAAAUAUUGUGGUACAUACACACAAUGAAACACUACUCAGCUUUAAAAAGGAACAGACUAUUGAUACAUGCAACAACUUGGAUGGGUCUCAAGGGCAUUAGGCUAAUGACAAAAAGCCAGUCUUAACAAGUCACAGAGUGUAUGAUUCCUUUUAUAUAACAUUCUCAGAAUGACAAAAUGAUAGAGAUGGAGGAAUUUGUGAUUGCCAGGGGUUGGGAAGUGGUGGGGGUGAAGCAGGUAUGAGUAUGAAUAUAAAUUGGUAGGUGAGGGAGAUCUUUGAGGAUGAUGGAAUAGUUCUGCAUCUUCAUAGCUACGGUGGCUGUAAGGAUUUAAACACGAUAAAACAGCAUAGAACUACCACACACACAUUGUACCAAUAUCAAUUUCCUGGUUAUGAUAUUGUAUUAUAGUUACAUAAGAUGUAGCCAUUGGGGGAAACUGGGUGGAGGGCAUACAGUACCUUUCUACUAUCUCUCCAAAUUCCUGUGAAUUUAUAAUUAUUUCAGUCCAGCGUGGUGGCUCACCCAGAGUCCCUGGUUUCUGACACGAGUUUUCCUUGGGCCUAAAAUCUACACUUUUCACAUUUCUUUCCCUUCUCAAGCUUUUCUAGCUGUAUCCAAGAUUUCUUUUUUAGCGUCACUCAACAUGUAUUGAAUCUUUGUUGAGACACAUGCACAUUUUAAAAGAACCUUUGUAAGAUUUUGUGUGUGUGUAUGCCAAUUAUUUUAUUUCAGCAGCAUAUUUUUUUUCUUUGGUUUUAUGCCUGAUAUAUCUAAUUAUUUGCCUGUCUAGUUCCUGUUGUAGCCUCUAAACAGCAGCUAGAUGUUGAGCAAAAAAGGUUGCCAUAGCAACAAAUGUUCAGCCACUGAUUUGUUGCUUCGCAGGCAAUUAGGUAUAAUCCUAGUAUACCUACCUAAUAAAGCAAGGACCUGUUAUAUGGGCUUUUUUUGUUUACUUCGUACUGUCUCAUAAUGGACAAGCAUUAUUCUAGAGCAACUGUGUCUGUCUCCUUGCCUGUCAUCUUCACACAAACCUGGUAGAAUUUCUUGGGUAUCCAAAGAUCAUUGGCCAAUGUAUUCAUCUUUUUUUUUUUUUUUUAAGAGAUAGGGUCUUGCUUUGUUGCCCAGGCUGGAGUACAGUGGUGUGAUCAUAGUUUACUACAGCCUCAAACUUCUAGGCUCAAGUGAUCCUCUGCCUCAGCCUCCCAGGUAGCUGGGAUUACAGACAUGUGAUGUGCAACCACACCGGGCUAUUUAUUUUUUUGUAGAGACAAGGUCUUUCUAUGCUGCCCAGGCUAGUCUUGAACUCCUGGCCUCAAGUGAUCCUUCUUCCUUGGCCUCCUCUGAAGCACUGGAAUUACAGGUGUGAGCUACUGUGUAGAGCUUGUUUUCAUCUUUAUUGAAGCUGGUGCCCCAGUUUAUACACUCGUCUUUGAAAAAUGUCUGAAAAUCACAACCUCACAGCCACUGGAGGUUGGCCCAACCACCUCCUCCCAUGCUGGGUAGUACUAAUUUUCUACCUUAUUAAUUAUAGUUCAAUAAAAUGUCUCUACCAUUAAAGUGUUAGGAAAUUUACAUAUGUGAUCUCUAAGCAUCCCAACAAAGUAGGCAUCAUUACUCCCACUUUGCAGAACUGGGAGUAACUGAGACUCAGAGAAGGUAAGUGUGUUAUCUAAAAUGAUACAGCUUGUAAAAGGACUAUGAAUCUAAGCCUGACUGGCUCUUAAACCUUUAUUCUUUUUCACUACAAAUUUAGGUCCCCAUUUCAACUCUCCAUGGACCAGUUGCUGAAUAGAUUAUUGCUCAUUUCUGUAAAGGUCUUGGACCCUUAUACUGCCUCUUAGACAAGUUCCUGGGGCCAUGUGUCCUUAUCCAGACACAUUCUAAUAAUUCAGUUGGAUCUCCAGGUGAAUAGAUUGUUUGAAGGAACAAAGAUAGAGGGAAGUUUGAGGGGGGUUGAGCAGGGAAGCCCCCAGGAGUUAACUUUCCUGAGUGUCCUAAAUAGGACUAAAGCCCAUAUCACAGCAACUCAAGAGGCCAGGUUAAAACCAGUAGCUGUUUUCACAUCGAUUGAACUAGGGCCUCUUCCCAAAACUUAUUGUUUAGGCUGAGAAGACACCUCUGCAGAUGAGUCAGGCUCCAUGGACACUCACCUGCAGCCCUAAAAAUCCUUAGACUUUGCUGGGAUCCAGAGGGAAUGUGGCUAUGAAAUCACCAUCAGAUUCACCCCAACAAUUAGUGGCAUGAAAGAGAGAUGAAGUAGGACUGUAAGAUGGACCUAAUUAUCUAGAAUAGAGAAACAAUGUAUGCUAUCAAAACAAGCAGAAAAGGAGCUAAUUUCCAUGUAGCUUGGCCUUCUAUGCUGUAGUUAGUCAUUGUCUUUCCUUUAGCUCCCACAGCUGCCCCAGAACUUGUGCACCUAUGUCUGAAACCCAGAACUAAGAACCUGGACACCAAGAUUGGGACCCCAUAUCCCCACAAUAACUGGAAACAGCUAAUCCAGUCUCCCAUUUGCCUGCCACCAAUUGUCUCAGGAUGACUUAUAAUGUAGACGUGCCUGGAUCUAGGCAGCUGGAUUGGGUGACUGGGCAUAUUAGCUGUUCCAAAAUAUAUGUUAAAUUUACUUGUUGAAUUUAGGUUACCCAUCAGUAAAAUCACUAACAAGUAAAGAAAUCACCAAGUGGCAUCUAAUGAAAAGGAUCUGUGUAAUCAGCUCUUUAAAAAAUUAAGAACUCAGCUGUCCCUUUUCUUCAUUAUCUGGGCAACCCUUAUCCCUACAGUUAUUAGCGAAACAAAACAACAAUGCUGGCCCAGUUAUCAGGGAGAAGCUUGUUUUGUCUCAUUUGUGAUAUUGGGUCCUAGCUGCUAAUUUUCUCAGCGAUGGCAGAAAAAGGUAAUUCAGGUCGGCUGUGGUGGCUCACGCCUGUAAUCCUAGCACUUUGGGAUGCCAAGGUGGAAGGAUUGCUUGAGCUCAGGAGUUUGAGAGCAGCCUGGGCAAAAGGGCAAGACCCUGUCUUAAUUUUUUUUUUAAAAAAGGUCAUUCAAACCAGAUUAGACUAAAAUAACACAAAGAGCCACAUCACUGUUUAUAUGAAUCUCACAAGCUGAGUUUCUUAGGAAAGGAAGGAAACCUGGAAAGAGAAGUCAAAAGCCUACAGCAAGGCAGAGCUGUCUCCAGGGUACUGGGUACUCAGCUUCCCUGCACUUCCACCUGGGGAAGGAAAGGAUAGGUAUGGGAAAGUCUUCUGCUGUGGUGUCAUGCAGUGGCCCUAGUCAGAUCUGUCUUCUAGCCCUGAUUUUGCCACUUAGUAGUAUUUAAGUAAGAGCACUUCACUCCUACCAUUAAGACUCUCCAACAGCUUCUCAUCUCAGAAUGAAAUUCUAUCUCCCUUCCUUGGACUAUACAACCCUUAUGAACUGGCCCUGCCUUAACUUGUACUGCUUCCCCAGUUCAACACUGCCCCUUUUCCUCCUUCCAGAUAAUGAGCUGAGUCCAUUCCCUGGAGUUGGAAGGUUCUGCCUCCAUCUAUUCAUUCAGGUCUCAGCUUGUGAUCACCUCCUCAGGUCUUCUCCAACCACCCUAUCACAUCUCAGUCACAAUCACAUCACCCCAUCUACUUUGCUUCCCAGCAUUAAAGCAGUAUCUGAAUUUGUAUUUACAAAAAUAUUAUCUGCCUAUCCCUAUUAGAACGUAACCUUCUGCCGGGCGUGAUGGCUCACGCCUGUAAUCCCAGUGCUUUGGGAGGCUCAGGUGGGCAGAUCACAAGGUCAGGAGAUCGAGACCAUCCUGGCUAACACAGUGAAACCCCG
rnacentral:lncRNA from 10 species